rnacentral:rRNA from 1 species
UACGUGGGGGGCGAGCGUUGUUCGGAAUUAUUGGGCGUAAAGGGUGCGUAGGCGGUUUGGUAAGUCUGAUGUGAAAUCUAUGGGCUCAACUCAUAGUCUGCAUCGGAAACUGCCGGGCUUGAGUGUGGGAGAGGUGAGUGGAAUUCCUGGUGUAGCGGUGAAAUGCGUAGAUAUCAGGAGGAACACCUGUGGCGAAAGCGGCUCACUGGACCAUAACUGACGCUGAUGCACGAAAGCUAGGGGAGCAAACAGG